rnacentral:rRNA from 1 species
AAGCUUGCUUGUUGGGGUUGUAGGACACUCUAUACGGAGUUACAAAGGACGACAUUAGACGAAUCAUCUGGAAAGAUGAAUCAAAGAAGGUAAUAAUCCUGUAGUCGAAAAUGUUGUCUCUCUUGAGUGGAUCCUGAGUACGACGGAGCACGUGAAAUUCCGUCGGAAUCUGGGAGGACCAUCUCCUAAGGCUAAAUACUCUCUAGUGACCGAUAGUGAACCAGUACCGUGAGGGAAAGGUGAAAAGCACCCCGGAAGGGGAGUGAAAUAGAACCUGAAACCGUGUGCUUACAAGUAGUCAGAGCCCGUUAAUGGGUGAUGGCGUGCCUUUUGUAGAAUGAACCGGCGAGUUACGAUUUGAUGCAAGGUUAAGCAGUAAAUGUGGAGCCGUAGCGAAAGCGAGUCUGAAUAGGGCGUUUAGUAUUUGGUCGUAGACCCGAAACCAGGUGAUCUACCCUUGGUCAGGUUGAAGUUCAGGUAACACUGAAUGGAGGACCGAACCGACUUACGUUGAAAAGUGAGCGGAUGAACUGAGGGUAGCGGAGAAAUUCCAAUCGAACCUGGAGAUAGCUGGUUCUCUCCGAAAUAGCUUUAGGGCUAGCCUCAAGUGAUGAUUAUUGGAGGUAGAGCACUGUUUGGACGAGGGGCCCCUCUCGGGUUACCGAAUUCAGACAAACUCCGAAUGCCAAUUAAUUUAACUUGGGAGUCAGAACAUGGGUGAUAAGGUCCGUGUUCGAAAGGGAAACAGCCCAGACCACCAGCUAAGGUCCCAAAAUAUAUGUUAAGUGGAAAAGGAUGUGGCGUUGCCCAGACAACUAGGAUGUUGGCUUAGAAGCAGCCAUCAUUUAAAGAGUGCGUAAUAGCUCACUAGUCGAGUGACACUGCGCCGAAAAUGUACCGGGGCUAAACAUAUUACCGAAGCUGUGGAUUGUCCUUUGGACAAUGGUAGGAGAGCGUUCUAAGGGCGUUGAAGCAUGAUCGUAAGGACAUGUGGAGCGCUUAGAAGUGAGAAUGCCGGUGUGAGUAGCGAAAGACGGGUGAGAAUCCCGUCCACCGAUUGACUAAGGUUUCCAGAGGAAGGCUCGUCCGCUCUGGGUUAGUCGGGUCCUAAGCUGAGGCCGACAGGCGUAGGCGAUGGAUAACAGGUUGAUAUUCCUGUACCACCUAUAAUCGUUUUAAUCGAUGGGGGGACGCAGUAGGAUAGGCGAAGCGUGCGAUUGGAUUGCACGUCUAAGCAGUAAGGCUGAGUAUUAGGCAAAUCCGGUACUCGUUAAGGCUGAGCUGUGAUGGGGAGAAGACAUUGUGUCUUCGAGUCGUUGAUUUCACACUGCCGAGAAAAGCCUCUAGAUAGAAAAUAGGUGCCCGUACCGCAAACCGACACAGGUAGUCAAGAUGAGAAUUCUAAGGUGAGCGAGCGAACUCUCGUUAAGGAACUCGGCAAAAUGACCCCGUAACUUCGGGAGAAGGGGUGCUCUUUAGGGUUAACGCCCAGAAGAGCCGCAGUGAAUAGGCCCAAGCGACUGUUUAUCAAAAACACAGGUCUCUGCUAAACCGUAAGGUGAUGUAUAGGGGCUGACGCCUGCCCGGUGCUGGAAGGUUAAGAGGAGUGGUUAGCUUCUGCGAAGCUACGAAUCGAAGCCCCAGUAAACGGCGGCCGUAACUAUAACGGUCCUAAGGUAGCGAAAUUCCUUGUCGGGUAAGUUCCGACCCGCACGAAAGGCGUAACGAUUUGGGCACUGUCUCAACGAGAGACUCGGUGAAAUCAUAGUACCUGUGAAGAUGCAGGUUACCCGCGACAGGACGGAAAGACCCCGUGGAGCUUUACUGUAGCCUGAUAUUGAAAUUCGGCACAGCUUGUACAGGAUAGGUAGGAGCCUUUGAAACGUGAGCGCUAGCUUACGUGGAGGCGCUGGUGGGAUACUACCCUAGCUGUGUUGGCUUUCUAACCCGCACCACUUAUCGUGGUGGGAGACAGUGUCAGGCGGGCAGUUUGACUGGGGCGGUCGCCUCCUAAAAGGUAACGGAGGCGCUCAAAGGUUCCCUCAGAAUGGUUGGAAAUCAUUCAUAGAGUGUAAAGGCAUAAGGGAGCUUGACUGCGAGACCUACAAGUCGAGCAGGG